rnacentral:rRNA from 1 species
UAGAUACCCUGGUAGUCCAUGCCGUAAACGUUGGGCACUAGGUGUGGGGGACAUUCCACGUUUUCCGCGCCGUAGCUAACGCAUUAAGUGCCCCGCCUGGGGAGUACGGCCGCAAGGCUAAAACUCAAAGGAAUUGACGGGGGCCCGCACAAGCGGCGGAGCAUGCGGAUUAAUUCGAUGCAGCGCGAAGAACCUUACCAAGGCUUGACAUGAACCGGAAUGAUGCAGAGAUGUGUCAGCCACUUGUGGCCGGUUUACAGGUGGUGCAUGGUUGUCGUCAGCUCGUGUCGUGAGAUGUUGGGUUAAGUCCCGCAACGAGCGCAACCCUCGUUCCAUGUUGCCAGCGGGUUAUGCCGGGGACUCAUGGGAGACUGCCGGGGUCAACUCGGAGGAAGGUGGGGACGACGUCAAAUCAUCAUGCCCCUUAUGUCUUGGGCUUCACGCAUGCUACAAUGGCCGGUACAAAGGGUUGCGAUACUGUGAGGUGGAGCUAAUCCCAAAAAGCCGGUCUCAGUUCGGAUUGAGGUCUGCAACUCGACCUCAUGAAGUUGGAGUCGCUAGUAAUCGCAGAUCAGCAACGCUGCGGUGAAUACGUUCCCGGGCCUUGUACACACCGCCCGUCAAGUCACGAAAGUUGGUAACACCCGAAGCCGGUGGCCUAACCCCUUGUGGGAGGGAGCCGUCGAAGGUGGGACCGGCGAUUGGGACUAAGUCGUAACAAGGUAACCAAU